AGUGAACGCUGGCGGUAGGCCUAACACAUGCAAGUCGAACGGCAGCACAGUAAGAGCUUGCUCUUACGGGUGGCGAGUGGCGGACGGGUGAGGAAUACAUCGGAAUCUACUUUUUCGUGGGGGAUAACGUAGGGAAACUUACGCUAAUACCGCAUACGACCUACGGGUGAAAGCAGGGGAUCUUCGGACCUUGCGCGAUUGAAUGAGCCGAUGUCGGAUUAGCUAGUUGGAGGGGUAAGGGCCCACCCAGGCGACGAUCCGUAGCUGGGCUGAGAGGAUGAUCAGCCACACUGGAACUGAGCCACGGUCCAGACUCCUACGGGAGGCAGCAGUGGGGAAUAUUGGACAAAGGGCGGAAGCCUGAUCCAGCCAUACCGCGUGGGUGAAGAAGGCCUUCGGGUUGUAAAGCCCUUUUGUUGGGAAAGAAAAGCAGCAGGUUAAUACCCCGCUGUUCUGACGGUACCCAAAGAAUAAGCACGGGCUAACUUCGUG
rnacentral:rRNA from 1 species